rnacentral:rRNA from 1 species
AACGAACGCUGGCGGUAUGCUUUACACAUGCAAGUCGAACGGGCAAGAGCCGUAGCAAUACGGAGUUCUGCUAGUGGCAAACGGGUGAGUAACGCGUGGGAAACUACCUUAUAGUACGGAAUAGCCCCGGGAAACUGGGAUUAAUACCGUAUACGCUCUUCGGAGGAAAGAUUUAUCGCUAUAAGAUGUGCCCGCGUUAGAUUAGCUUGUUGGUGAGGUAAUGGCUCACCAAGGCGACGAUCUAUAGCUGGUUUGAGAGGAUGAUCAGCCACACUGGAACUGAGACACGGGCCAGACUUCUACGGGAUGCAGCAGUGGGGAAUAUUGGACAAUGGGCGAAAGCCUGAUCCAGCAAUACCGCGUGAGUGAUGAAGGCCUUAGGGUUGUAAAACUCUUUCAGUGGGGAAGAUAAUGACGGUACCCACAGAAGAAGCACCGGCUAACUCCGUGCCAGCAGCCGCGGUAA